ACGAAGGGUGCAAGCGUUAUUCGGAGUAACUGGGCGUAAAGAGCGUGUAGGCGGUUUGUUAAGUCUGUUGUUAAAUUACUCGGCUCAACUGAGUGUUCGCGAUAGAAACUGGCAAGCUAGAGUGCAAGAGAGAGAAGUGGAAUUCUCGGAGUAGCGGUAAAAUGCGUAGAUAUCGAGAGGAACACCGAUAGCGAAGGCGGCUUCUUGGCUUGUAACUGACGCUGAAGCACGAAAGCGUGGGUAGCAAACAG
rnacentral:rRNA from 1 species